rnacentral:rRNA from 1 species
GACGAACGCUGGCGGCGUGCCUAAUACAUGCGAGUAGAACGCACAGUUUAUACCGUAGCUUGCUACACCAUAGACUGUGAGUUGCGAACGGGCGAGUAACGCGUAGGUAACCUGCCUGGUAGCGGGGGAUAACUAUUGGAAACGAUAGCUAAUACCGCAUAAUAUUAAUUAUUGCAUGAUAAUUAAUUGAAAGGUGCAAUUGCACCACUACCAGAUGGACCUGCGUUGUAUUAGCUAGUAGGUGAGGUAACGGCUCACCUAGGCGACGAUACAUAGCCGACCUGAUAGGGUGCUCGGCCACCCUGGGACUGAGACACGGCCCAGACUCCUACGGGAGGCAGCCGUAGGGAAUCUUCGGCAAUGGACGGAAGUCUGACCGAGCAACGCCGCGUGAGUGAAGAAGGUUGUCGGAUCGUAAAGCUCUGUUGUAAGAGAAGAACGGGUGUGAGAGUGGAAAGUUCACACUGUGACGGUAUCUUACCAGAAAGGGACGGCUAACUACGUG